ACUCCUGCGGGAGGCAGCAGUGGGGAAUUUUGGACAAUGGGCGAAAGCCUGAUCCAGCAAUGCCGCGUGAGUGAAGAAGGCCUUCGGGUUGUAAAGCUCUUUUGUCAGGGAAGAAACGGUGAAAGCUAAUAUCUUUUGCUAAUGACCGUACCUGAAGAAUAAGCACCGGCUAACUACGUGCCAGCAGCCGCGGUAAUACGUAGGGUGCAAGCGUUAAUCGGAAUUACUGGGCGUAAAGCGUGCGCAGGCGGUUUUGUAAGUCUGAUGUGAAAUCCCCGGGCUCAACCUGGGAAUUGCAUUGGAGACUGCAAGGCUAGAAUCUGGCAGAGGGGGGUAGAAUUCCACGUGUAGCAGUGAAAUGCGUAGAUAUGUGGAGGAACACCGAUGGCGAAGGCAGCCCCCUGGGUCAAGAUUGACGCUCAUGCACGAAAGCGUGGGGAGCAAACAGGAUUAGAAACCCCAGUAGUCCC
rnacentral:rRNA from 1 species